GUGCCACCGACGCCGCCAAGCUGGGCGCUGCGGCGGCCGCCAAGGCUGCCCAGGCGAGCGAAGGGACCGACGCCUUCAUCUACGAGGAGUACGGCUUCCCGUCGGCGGCCGAACCCAUGCCAGCGGCCAACCCGCUGCUCAUCUGCUCGGUGCUGGUCUCCUACUUCCUGUUCGUGUCGGCCUGCUUCCUCAUCAUCAAGUACGCCUACCACGGCUACGAUGUGAACGCGCCUGACGUCCACACGGUGACCAGCAAGGACAUCCACGCGAAGCUCGAGUUUGACCAGAAGG
rnacentral:lncRNA from 1 species